AAUCCAUGCAUAGGGCAUUUCUGAAGUAAUUCUUUAAAUCAUUCCCAAGUUUCAUAUAGCAUUUCAUUCUCUGAUUAACAAAAGGAUGUGGUGUUAUUUCUAAGCUU
rnacentral:snoRNA from 1 species